UGGCUCAAUUCUAAUCUCGAUUGUCAUGUAAGAACGAAUGUUAUUCUGAUGAUGAUGCAAAAGCCAAUGACUAUAAAUGCAGUUUUUUCUCCCAUCAAUGUAACUAUGUUUACCAAUUUCGUGAAUACUACAAUGUCCUAUUUUUUCCUGUUGCAAUCUAUGGAAUAAGGACAGAGAUAAGAUGGAUAAAAAUGUAUAACGUUAGAAAUGGACACUAUAUCAUAUUUGGAUGCGAGUAUGAUUUCUCUGUAAGUAGCAGUCCGCCGCGAAUGUGCACUUUGCGUAGAAAGAAUGAAAUAUAUGAAUAAAUAAUGUUA